rnacentral:rRNA from 1 species
UACGAAGGGGGCUAGCGUUGCUCGGAAUUACUGGGCGUAAAGCGCACGUAGGCGGUCUUUUAAGUCGGGGGUGAAAUCCUGGAGCUCAACUCCAGAACUGCCUCGAUACUGGAAGACUCGAGUCCGGGAGAGGUGAGUGGAACUGCGAGUGUAGAGGUGAAAUUCGUAGAUAUUCGCAAGAACACCAGUGGCGAAGGCGGCUCACUGGCCCGGUACUGACGGCUGAGGUGCGAAAGCGUGGGGAGCAAACAGG